rnacentral:lncRNA from 1 species
CAGAGUGAAACAGGAGUGCUUUAUGGUCUGAGUGGAGUGUUUGGGAGGAGUGCCUCCCGGCUCCUGCCUUCGGGCUCACCUGAGCGGGGGCGCAGCUGAGGCCACUGUGGGAAACACAACCCCCACUCCCAGGAGAGGCCUCACAUGCUGCCUUCGGUCUCGCCAGCCUUCUAGCGUGGGGCCUGGGCCGCCCUUUAGGGUGAGUCUGCACACCCGUGUUCAGGGCUCCCGGCCGGAAGCGGAACCAUAGGCAUGCUGCGGCCCCAGAUGAGCGCGGAGGGCAAGCAGGUGCCGGGGCAGCGCACACCCCACAGCCAAGCGGCCCCUGCCCAGCCUCUGUAAACAGACCCUCACAGGUCCCUCCUGGGCCUCAGUCACAUCCCUGAGAAACACUGGCGGCUCUGCCCCGAGAGGGCCAGGGUGUCCACCGAGCCUGGCUGAAGCCAGCUGUCCCCUCCCUUCUUGCAGAGCAGGCUCACACUGGGCCUGAAGGCCCAGCACCUGCAGGGCCCAGCCUGGGGACCACCAAUGCCCGGCCUCUUCCAGCUCAGAAGCGCACACGGCAGCCACGGGGCAGCGGCAAAGGCGAUGGUACAGAGGCAAAUGCCUCCCCAGGCAGUGACAGGCACGCCCCCCGCCCCAGGGCGGCCACUGCCCACGCCGGCCUAGAGCUCCUCGUAGUCGCCACCCCCAGGGUGGCGGCCUAGAGAUGAUGCUGCGCCGUGGGGCGGGGGCUGAGGGGCACGCAGGUGGGGGCAGGGCCUCUGAGGGUGGUACAGGGGGCACAGAGGAUGGUGGGGCGGCAUUGAGGGGCAGCUGUGGGGCGGGCUGGGGUGUGCCGGGGCUGGAGCUCCCCGUGGACACAGCGCCUGCAGGCACCACUGGUGACUGGGAGCCCGGGGAUGGGCUCUGCCCGUUGGCCGCCAGUGGGGACGCAUGGCCACGGCUGCGAGCCUCCAUCAUCUCCAGGAAGAUGCCGUAGUUCUGGUCCUCCGUCUCCUGCUGCACCGACAGCUCCUCCAGCGUGGCGUCCAUGUCCAGCUGGUUCGUCUCCAGCUGCCGCAACAGCGUCUCCCUCUGAAGCUGCAAAAAUGGGAUAUUGAAGAACUUAUGAAGGUACUUUAGGCCGAAGCUGUUCUUCAUGGAAGACUCAGCAUAGCGGAAGUAGGAGGAACCUGGAGGUCUGUCCAGGUUGUCGAUGAAGUCACGCACGUCGUCCGGCAGGAUGACUCGGUGCUCGCCCAUGUCCCGGUAGUUUCCCAGCACGCACACUGGCACGUGGGUGGGCACUUUUGGAAGCUCCCGGAGAAUGUAAUUGAAGGUCCACUGCUUGGUAAUGUCGAACAUCAUGACCACCCCGUUGCAGUUCUUGUACACGUCCAGGAACUCAGCAUCCAGGGCCAUUUCAGACUCCGCCUCCUGGGGGUCGUUCUCCAUCUUUAAGCCGUCGCCUCGCUUUUUGCAUUUUCCUUUGUCUACUACAUCCCAGACUUCAACCUUCACGAUGUCAUCCGUGGUCUUGUAGCUCCAGUGGAUGCUGGUGACCUGGAUCUCCUGUGUGGGGAUGUACUCCUCCACGAACGGCCGGCCCUGCAGGCGGUGCCACAGCGCUGUCUUGCCCGUGUUCCUGUCUCCCCGGAUCACUAUCUUCAGGUGAGUGGUGCCCGGGGCUGGGCACCGUGGAGCGUCGGGGGCGCGGCGCCCCGGGCCGGCGGGCCCUGCUUGGCAUUAUGUAAUCACCCCCGGGCCGGGCAGCCGGGCCAACCCCGCCGCCGCCGACCCGCUCCACUGCACAGCGCGGCGGGAGCGACACGCGGCAGGCGAGUGCGGCUGGGAAACGACCCGCGGCUCGGGGGCCGCGAGGACCCGGCCCUGGCCUGGCCUCUCCUCGCGUCCCCUGGCCCGCGCCCCCGCUCCCGGAGCGCCCGGCGGGCCCAGCGCACCCCACAACCGGCAAGCAGGUGAGACCGACACCCACCACCGCGCGGCGCCCGGGGCCUGGGUUCGGAGACCCGCGCGGCGCUCCCGCGCCCCCCCGGCCCGCCGCACUCACUUCCUGCAGGUACAACUGAUGCACCCUGUAGCCCCGCUGUCCCUCCAGGAUGUCCCGGUGGGAUGGGAGCCGGCGCCACCCCGACCUGUGUUCCAGCCACCCGCCUGCAGCCCGGGCCCCAGUUCCGGGGCCUGUACCGAUCAUAUCCUCCUCCCGGUUCUCAAAGCUGAUCCUGGUGUUGUACUUCUCCAUCAGAGUCGAGGACUCCAGGGUGUCCCUCACCUUUGUGUCGCCCUGCAGGGCAAAGCCCCCUUCAGCCGUGCAGACACUCUGAACGGGAGCCUGUCAGCUUUGAGGGGACGUGGGCUGUGCAGGUUCCUCCCAGCCCGGGGCUACCUCCUCGGUCCUGGACACCAUCUGCACUCUGUCAGCCAGCAUGUCUGUCAUUUUCUUCUCAACGGACUUGAAGCUGCAGAAGGCAAUAGGGACACAGCAGUGAGGGGCACAGGCCCGAGAGCCAUGGUGGGCCACCCAGGAGCCCAGUCCUGAGUUGGGUGCUGUGCCAGAAUCAGGGACUCAGAAGCUCAGCUCCAGGUUCUCCUCCGUGUUCCUCUGGGCCAGGAAGCGGCUAGUGAUGUCCUGGCCAGUCCGGGGGAGAGAGAAGCAGAGUGCCUCAGACCCCAGCCCAGCUCAGCCACCCUCCUGCCAUGCUCCGGGAGUGCCAGGGAGCAUUACCCAGACGUGAGAGGCUCAGCCACCCUCCUGCCAUUCUCUGGGAGCGCCAGGGGCAUUACCCAGACGUGAGAGCACCGUACAGCACUCUUGACCUUCUCCACCACAGCAGUCACGCCCGACUGGUAUUCCAUUUCUGCUGUGGAGGUCUCUUUUCUCCUCACUGGCAGAGCAGAGGGGAGGGGCAGUCAGCAUGCAGGGAUGGCUCAGGGGCUCUGUGUAAGGCUGUCAGACACCUCUGUACCUGCCCAGCUGCUGGGGCGGCCACCCAAGACACAGGCAUCCUUCAGAGAUGCCUGCCCCCGCCCCAACCUGCUCCCUCCUCAGCCCAGCCCUGCAGGGACGCCCCAGGCAGCCCCAGAGCAGAGGUGGACCCGGAGUGAGUGGCGCAGCACUGUGAGCACUGUGGGCCCGGUGGUGCUUCUCAGAGGCAGCUUAGGGGUCAGGAUGCUCAUCCUCUGCAGAGUCACUGGGGACUGGGCCCUUGGUGCAGGGCCCUUGGGUGCUGGGGCCAGCAUCUCUGAGGCCACAUUUGGCUACAGGCUCUCAGCCUCUGGAGGGAGAGGCAGGGACCUGUCCUUCCCUUCACCCUGGCGACCACAUGUCACACCUGGCCUCAGGGUGACUUGAUCCGUUGGCCUGAAUCAGUGCCAGCCUCUCCUUGGGACCCUGGCUGGGGGCAGGUGGGGAGCUGAGCGCUUACAUUUCAGGGUCUCCGUGCUCAUCAGGUUCGAGGGGAAGUCCAAGUCCAUCUGGCCCUGAUGGGAGGUGGGGGCGGGGAAGGGAUGAGACAUCCUUGGCAGGGAGUGGGCCCUGAGUGGUGGCCCUGAGCCUGUGUCCACCCAGCUGUCAUGGGGAUGGGCAGCCAGCCAGGCCCUGGCCUGGGGCUUACCCGGCGGUACUUCUCGCUGGUCUCCUUCGUGUGGAUCUUGUCGAUCAGCUUCUUCUGCUGGUUGAGCCGGUUCUCCCUUGCCCGGCGCUCCUCGAUGAAGGACGCCUCCCUUUGCCUCAUGUUCCUCUGGGGACAUGCGGGUGGGCACAGGGUUGGGGAGCUGUCUCAACAAGGCCCCUAAUGGCAGUAAAGCCAGCGGGCGGUUGGCCAUGCUCACCUUACUAGACUUUGGAACUGCAUCCCCGGCCAAUGGCCACACCCUUUUCCUAAACCACUUGUGCCCGUGGCCCCUCAGCUCACGGCCCUCCUUGCCCAUGCCUCAGAGCAUGUGCCAGCCCAGACGCUCUGCUGCCCUCCAGCCGCUGGCCCCCAGCUGCCUCCUGGCCAGGUCCACCUAGAACUCACGGAAGUGCAUUCAGCCUGCCUGAAGACAGAUUCAUCCUCUUCCCCAAAACCUGGCCUCUUCCAGCGUGCCCUUGGGCAGCUAAAACCGUCAUCUGCUAACCCCUGCUCACGCACCCCAGACACUGCUCUCACCCUCGCCACUCUCGUUGCCAGCGCUUAGUGGGGUUGCCUCUUGAGGAGUUCUCAGCUCCGUUGCUCCUGGCCACCCCUUCUCCACCCCGGGUAUACCCAGGUGAUCAGCGCUUCUGCCCUGGCACCUUCCAGUCCCUGCAGCCUGAGUACACCCUUUCUGAAGCACAGACCUGGUCACAUCUUUCCUCCACCUCCUCCCAGGGCUCCAGGUCAGUCCUUGGGCCCCCAGCCCAGCCGCCUCCGUGGACUCCUGGGGCCUGUGCCUCUGCAGCCUCCACUGCCCUGGCCACACGCUGCUCCAUGUAUCACACCCCUCCCAGCCCAGGGCCUUUUCCCAAGUUGUACCUCCUCCUCCCUAGCCCUGGCCACACCUGACCUUUGCGGGUUCAAUCCCUCAGCCCAGCUCAAGCACUGUCUUCCUGGAAAGCCAUCUGCCACCCCACCUGUCUCUGCUGAGCUGGCUCAGGGGCUGUGUGGCAUUUCUUCAUGGACUACUGGAUGAGUGCCACCCACUUCAGGAGGACAGGGUCUGCCUGUCCCGGUCCCUGCUGUAUCCCCAGAGCCUUGCAGGGACCUUGGCACAGACUGGGUGAAUAGGUGACCCCCGCCCUGGCCCGGCCAGUUCUCUCCCUCUCCUCUACUUCAUGGCUCCUGUGCUGGAUGGGACCUGCUCUGUCCAGUGGGUGAGCAGAGCAGGCUGGCCGGGCUGGCCACUGGAUCCUUCUGGGGAUUGUAGGCAGUGUGGGCAUGGGGGUCUCCUGAGAGACCCUGGCCAGAAGACACAAGAGAGCCCGCCCUGGGGGGCCCCAGCCCUGGGCCCUGAGCUCACCUUGACCCCAUCCGAAGAUCCAAGAGGGCUGGCCCUGGGGGGCCCCCAGCCCUGGGCCCUGAGCUCACCUUGACCCCAUCCGAAGAUCCAAGAGGGCUGGCCCUGGGGGGCCCCAGCCCUGGGCCCUGAGCUCACCUUGACCCCAUCCGAAGAUCCAAGAGGGCUGGCCCUGGGGGGCCCCCGGCCCUGGGCCCUGAGCUCACCUUGACCCCAUCCGAAGAUCCAAGAGGGCUGGCCCUGGGGGGCCCCCAGCCCUGGGCCCUGAGCUCACCUUGACCCCAUCCGAAGAUCCAAGAGGGCUGGCCCUGGGGGGCCCCCGGCCCUGGGCCCUGAGCUCACCUUGACCCCAUCCGAAGAUCCAAGAGGGCUGGCCCUGGGGGGCCCCCAGCCCUGGGCCCUGAGCUCACCUUGACCCCAUCCGAAGAUCCAAGAGGGCUGGCCCUGGGGGGCCCCCAGCCCUGGGCCCUGAGCUCACCUUGACCUCAUCCGUGAUCAUCAUGGCAUCUUGGGACAUGAUCUUCAUAUCCGACAGCUCUGAGCAGUAGUUGACCACGAGGUUCUGCAGCUUGUCCAGCUCAAUGGGGUAUCCUGCCAGCACCUGUGUUGAAUGGGGUUCUCUUGUGGCCCCUACAGAGUGGGCUGCAGUUGCCCCGAGCUUUUAUCCCCCGACUAAGAGCCCUGAGAACAGUGAUAGGUUCUCCUCUGUGGCCCCAGCCACCUCCCCCACUCCCCGCUGGGCACAACGGUGAUGAAAGGUGUUUCACAGGGAGUGGACAGUGCUGGCCUGGUGGACUCUUUCACCACCUAGGGUCCAACAACCCAGAGAGACUGAGAGAGUUUGUGAUGAAAUGCUCUGCAGAAAAGGCUGACUGAAACCCGGGGAGGUUUGGGGACAGUUCUGCUUUGAAGUGAAACAGAGGGGCUCAAGACAUGGGCUUGGGGUCAGAGAGUCAGGAUUCAAGGCCAAGGCAGCUUCUGACCAGCUAGUUUAGCUGUGUGACAUUGGGAAAGUUACUUAAUCUCUCUGUGUCCCCAUUUGUAAGAUGAUGGCUCGUUCAGAAGGUUGCCAUCAGGAUGAAUUGAGUGUAAAAGGAAUUAUUUAGCCCAGAACCAGGUACAUACGUGCUCAGGAUAGCUUUGCUAUAGUGGUUUGUUUUUUGUAACUACAAGUAUAGGCCAGGUGCGGUGGCUCACGCCUGUAAUCCCAACACUGGGAGGCCGGAGGCAGGCAGAUCAUGAGGUCAGGAGUUAGAGACCAGCCUGGCCAACAUAGUGAAACCCUGUCUCUACUAAAAAUACAAAAAAAAUCAGCCGGGCGUGGUAGUGGGCGCCUGUAAUUCUAGCUAUUCGGGAGGCUGAGGCAGGAGAAUCGCUUGAACCCGGGAGGCGGAGGUUGCAGUGAGCCGAGAUCUCACCACUGCACACCAGCUGGGGCAACAGUGUGAAACUCCAUCUCAAAAAACAAAACAAACAAAAACAAAACUAGAAGUGUAGAAUCUUCAUUUUUAAAAAUAUGGAUGACUAUGGGA